rnacentral:rRNA from 1 species
GACGAACGCUGGCGGCGUGCUUAACACAUGCAAGUCGAACGGAAAGGCCCUGCUUUUGUGGAGUGCUCGAGUGGCGAGCGGGUGAGUAACACGUGAGUAACCUGCCCUUGACUUUGGGAUAACUUCAGGAAACUGGGGCUAAUACCGGAUAGGAGCUCCUGCUGCAUGGUGGGGGUUGGAAAGUUUCGGCGGUUGGGGAUGGACUCGCGGCUUAUCAGCUUGUUGGUGGGGUAGUGGCUUACCAAGGCUUUGACGGGUAGCCGGCCUGAGAGGGUGACCGGCCACAUUGGGACUGAGAUACGGCCCAGACUCCUACGGGAGGCAGCAGUGGGGAAUAUUGCACAAUGGGCGGAAGCCUGAUGCAGCAACGCCGCGUGCGGGAUGACGGCCUUCGGGUUGUAAACCGCUUUCGCCUGUGACGAAGCGUGAGUGACGGUAAUGGGUAAAGAAGCACCGGCUAACUACGUG